UACGUAGGGUGCGAGCGUUAAUCGGAAUUACUGGGCGUAAAGCGUGCGCAGGCGGUUUUGUAAGCCAGAUGUGAAAUCCCCGGGCUUAACCUGGGAAUGGCAUUUGGGACUGCAAGGCUGGAGUGUGGCAGAGGAGACUGGAAUUCCUGGUGUAGUGGUGAAAUGCGUAGAGAUCCGGAGGAACACCAAAGGCGCAGGCAGUGUCCUGGGAAGUACCUGACGCUCAGGGACGAAAGCUAGGGGAGCGAACGGG
rnacentral:rRNA from 1 species